rnacentral:rRNA from 1 species
GAUGAACGCUGGCGGCGUGCCUAAUACAUGCAAGUCGAGCGAACGGACGAGAAGCUUGCUUUUCUGAUGUUAGCGGCGGACGGGCGAGUAACACGUGGAUAACAUACUUCUAAGUCUGGGAUAAUUUCGGGAAAAAGGAGCUAAUAAUGGCUAAUAUUUUGAACCGCAUGGUUCAAAAGUAAAAGACGGCUUUGCUGUCACUUAUAGCUGGUUCCGCGCUGCAUUAGUUAGUUGGUAAGGUAACGGCUUACCAAGGCAACGAUGCAUAGCCGACCUGAGAGGGUGAUCGGCCACACUGGAACUGAGACACGGUCCAGACUCCUACGGGAGGCAGCAGUAGGGAAUCUUCCGCAAUGGGCGAAAGCCUGUCCGAGCAACGCCGCGUGAGUGAUGAAGGUCUUCGGAUCGUAAAGCUCUGUUAUUAGGGAAGAACAGAUGUGUAAUUAACUGUGCACAUCUUGACGGUACCUAAUCAGAAAGCCACGGCUAACUACGUG